CCUACGGGGGGCAGCAGUGAGGAAUAUUGGUCAAUGGGCUUACGCCUGAACCAGCCAAGUCGCGUGAGGGAAGACUGCCCUAUGGGUUGUAAACCUCUUUUGUCAGGGAGCAACGCCGGCUACGUGUAGCCGGACUGAGAGUACCUGCAGAAAAAGCAUCGGCUAACUCCGUGCCAGCCGCCGCGGUAAUACGGAGGAUGCGAGCGUUAUCCGGAUUUAUUGGGUUUACAGGGUGCGUAGGCGGAAUGCCAAGUCAGCGGUAAAAUCGCGGGGCUCAACCUCGCUCCGCCGUUGAAACUGGCGGUCUUGAGUGGGCGAGAGGGAUGCGGAAUGCGUGGUGUAGCGGUGAAAUGCAUAGAUAUCACGCAGAACUCCGAUUGCGAAGGCAGCAUACCGGCGCCCAACUGACGCUGAAGCACGAAAGCGUGGGUAUCGAACAGGAUUAGAUACCCCUGUAGUC
rnacentral:rRNA from 1 species